ACUGAACGCUGGCGGCAGGCCUAACACAUGCAAGUCGAGCGGAUGAAGGGAGCUUGCUCCUGGAUUCAGCGGCGGACGGGUGAGUAAUGCCUAGGAAUCUGCCUGGUAGUGGGGGAUAACGUCCGGAAACGGGCGCUAAUACCGCAUACGUCCUGAGGGAGAAAGUGGGGGAUCUUCGGACCUCACGCUAUCAGAUGAGCCUAGGUCGGAUUAGCUAGUUGGUGGGGUAAAGGCCUACCAAGGCGACGAUCCGUAACUGGUCUGAGAGGAUGAUCAGUCACACUGGAACUGAGACACGGUCCAGGCUCCUACGGGAGGCAGCAGUGGGGAAUAUUGGACAAUGGGCGAAAGCCUGAUCCAGCCAUGCCGCGUGUGUGAAGAAGGUCUUCGGAUUGUAAAGCACUUUAAGUUGGGAGGAAGGGCAGUAAGUUAAUACCUUGCUGUUUUGACGUUACCAACAGAAUAAGCACCGGCUAACUUCGUG
rnacentral:rRNA from 1 species